CUCAAUCCCUCAUUUCACUUUUUUUUUACGUUUUUCUUGGAUUACUGCCAUGGCUUCUCUCUCUCCAUCGAAGAUUUGACGUCCUCCGCUGUCGCGCCACCGCCGCCGCUCGCGUCGCACAAGCUCCCUCCACCACCGCUCUCAUCGCGUUUUCUCCCUUCAUCACCAUUGUCGCACGAGCUCUCUCCGUCGUGCUCUUGUCUUACGAGCUCCCUCUGCCGCCGCUCUCGUCGCUGCUUCUUCUCUCCUCGCCGGAGGUUUGUCAUCGUCUCUUCUCAUCACCGUUAGUUCAGUUGAAAAUCAAAGAAUACGAUCCAGGAGAGCUCUUAUGUUUGCAAAUCAACUGUUGCUGCUGCAGAGAACUGAGUUUCUAAAUUCUAAGUGAAACAUGAUUGUGUGUUUGGUGCUGACUUGGAUUUAAAUGAAAUAACCUAUGUAUUAGGGUGAAUAUACGAAGUUUGUGUUAGAAGCCCUUGAACUGUUGGAUACCAUAAAGAACUAUGAGAGUCGUGACUCCACAGGAUGGUUUGCUCUUAAAUCUACAUGUUCUUAUCUUUCUUGGUACUGAUACUAAUUUUCUGGUUUGAAGAUACUACAUGUUUUUGUUACAAAUUCUAUAGAGAUUAGUUUUCUCACAAUGAUAACUACAUGAAAUAUUGAUUUAUAACAGAAUUUCUAUGGUGGUGUAUAUUAACGAAGCAACUACAAAGAUUAGCUGCUGUUGUCUUUCAUGGGAAAAACUAUGCUAUAGUGAUCUCUCCAACUGACUUGACACUGCUGCCUCUUACUAUGUCAUGAAAAGAAUUAAAUCCCUUGAUCAUAAAGAUGCCAUUCAAAGGACAGUUAUUGCAUCAAUCCAUCAGCCUAGUGCUGAAGUUUUUCAAUUCUUUGAUAAUCUCUGUUUGUUCUCUGCUGGCAAAACAGUUUACAUUGGACCUGCUUCUACUGCAAUUUAGGUUAAUAUACAACUAAGAACCAACUAACUAACUAGUUCAUAUUUUCAAUGCCCAUCAUUUCUAUAAUACUAUCAUAAGAACAUCAUCUUGUAUGUAGUUUUUCGCUUCCAAUGGUUUUCCUUGUCCUGCUCUUCAAAACCCCUCAGAUCAUAUGCUAAAAAGUAUAAACAAGGACUUCGAUCAGUUGAAGAAACUCAAGUGCCUCUUCUCUUGGACCUUCAAGUUGAAGAUGCAAAAUAUGUGUUUGAGUCAAAGACUAUUCAGAGAAUGGAGCUUCUGAUUCUGUCCACCUUGAAUUGGAAGAUGCACCCUGUGACCCCACUCUCAGCGAUUGAAGAAUAGGUGGAUUUGACACAGCACAUGCUGUAGCUAGGGCAUAUGGUCGAGCUGCGAUCAAGUUCCGUGGCAUUGAUGCAGAUAUCAAUUUCAACGUCAGCGAUUAUGAUGAAGAUAUAAAGCAAAAAAUAUAUGUAAUUGAUUGACCAAAUCUAUGCACACCUUUGCCAGAAGAUAUCCACAUUGCUUCUUUAUUGUUCCAAAUCUGUUUCUGCUUAUAUGCAAUAAAAUCAAUUUAUUUCAUUGCCUUGGCUUUUA